rnacentral:rRNA from 1 species
UACGUAGGGUGCAAGCGUUAAUCGGAAUUACUGGGCGUAAAGCGUGCGCAGGCGGUUUGUUAAGUCUGUUGUGAAAUCCCCCGAGCUCAACUUGGGAAUUGCAAUGGAUACUGGCAGGCUGGAGUAUGGUAGAGGAAGGUGGAAUUCCCGGUGUAGCAGUGAAAUGCGUAGAGAUCGGGAGGAACACCAGUGGCGAAGGCGGCCUGCUGGGCAGUGGCUGACACUGAGGCGCGACAGCGUGGGGAGCAAACAGG